GUGGGGAAUCUUGCGCAAUGGGCGAAAGCCUGACGCAGCCAUGCCGCGUGAAUGAUGAAGGUCUUAGGAUUGUAAAAUUCUUUCACCGGGGACGAUAAUGACGGUACCCGGAGAAGAAGCCCCGGCUAACUUCGUGCCAGCAGCCGCGGUAAUACGAAGGGGGCUAGCGUUGCUCGGAAUUACUGGGCGUAAAGGGCGCGUAGGCGGACAGUUUAGUCAGAGGUGAAAGCCCAGGGCUCAACCUUGGAAUUGCCUUUGAUACUGGCUGUCUUGAGUACGGGAGAGGUGAGUGGAACUCCGAGUGUAGAGGUGAAAUUCGUAGAUAUUCGGAAGAACACCAGUGGCGAAGGCGACUCACUGGCCCAAUACUGACGCUGAGGCGCGAAAGCGUGGGGAGCAAACAGGAUUAGAAACCCUAGUAGUCC
rnacentral:rRNA from 1 species